UUAUCGUAACUUCAGGCUUCUGAAAAUGUUUUCAGGCAUCCGGCAGGUGAUCCACAAAUAUUUCAAAUCUGUUAUUUAAAAUCAACUUAGGAUAAUCCAACUCCCUAAACAAUUAAGCCUUCUUCUAAAAGCCAGGGAAGUCAAAAGGGGCCAGAAAGUCACUGUGAAACUGUACUGUCCUAGGCUGGAUUCCUAGGAACUCUGCAACCUUCAUCAAAUUCUUAAUCCAAGCCUAGCUUCCCCACGUGUGAGAGACAGACAACCUAAUAUCUACCUCGGGGCUGCUGAACACAACAGUAACUGAGAUGGUGACAUCAGAUACAGAACAGAGGGGUGCACUUAGGAAAUGCCAGGGAGCCGCCAUUGCGACAGCCGCAAUAAGGACACAAGGCAGGCAAUGGAAACCAGAGCUGUGAGGCCAACACCCCCUGAACCUCCUGGCAGAGGAGCUGAAUCCCAGCAAUGUGGAGAAGACUCUGAAGACUGUGCAGCUUCGUUUUUACAGAGAAAAACCGAGCCCUGGGUGCAGAGGCAGAAAUCUAGCCCAUGCACUUCUGCCUGCCCACACCCACUGCACGCAGCACCUGAUUCCCUCCGGUGUGCUGGGAAUAAAACACCCUGAAAGUGCCAGGAGUGGGUGGGAUCAGGCUCCACACUCUCACUUUUCAGUCUGUGUGCGACCUGGAGGCCCAAGGACUGGUCUCUGCAGCUCCAAUACUCCAGACACUUCUACAGAGUAUUUCAGGGUGGGCAAGAGCUCUGAGGCCAGCAAGCUUUACUCCAACCCUGCUCCAGACUCAUCUCUGACACCUGCCCUUCCUUUGCUCAAUCAAAAGCUCACUCCUGGCAAAUGGGUCGGACUUGUACUGAGAAUGCUUUGUAAGACAUCAGAGAGCCUGUCCUCUUUUAUCGCAGCCCCACCUUCCCCCCAUUUUCUGGAGCCCAUGCCAGGGUUUUCUCUAAGCUGGGCACCCACGUACUUCAGAAUGCCUCCUUCCCCCAGAUCUUCUCUUCUAACUACCAAGUCCCCUGGGAAGGGACACCCUCAGAAGGUGCUCUCUCCCGUGCCCUCGCUCUCAGCUACACUCGGGAAUCCUGUCAUCGCUGUUUUUCCUUCUCCCUGAAAAGUCUCCUGCACUGUGAGAGCCUUUUUAAAAGUCAUGUCUGAAUGCAAAUCCAAAGCAUGGAAUGGUCAACACUAGAGACAAACACUGGUGACAUAGGGGACAUCUGGAGAGUAUUCUGUAUGUGCCCACAGUUUAACAUCCUGCUGAUGACUGCUGGGAAUUGGUCAUUUGCAGUAUGUGAUACUAAUUGUGAGGUAUUAAUUGUGAGAACACUUGAGCACACUGAAUAAAACACCACAGUCCUGGCGUCUGAUGUGAGCACCGCCUCCCUGAGUCAUGGCUGGAUUACCCAUAUAGCUGAUCAAUGCAGAUGCUGGCUGAAAGCUAAAAGGUUGUUACAUGGUAUUGUUUGGGUCAUAAUGACAAGGAAAAGACACACUCCAUGUACGUACACCUACCCCCAGAGCACUCUCCAUCCUGAGUGGCUGACUCCCAGCAUCCUUCCCAUCUAUCCUCUGUUAUUUACGAUUGGGGGCAGGGUGCUGGCUGACAGGAGGCUUAUAAUAUGAAUUUACAACAACAACAACAAUAAAAACAGAGCAUAGGAUAGAAACGUCCAGAAAUGACACAGAUAUUGACAUUCUGCACCGAGCACGAUCACCACAAAUGAUCUCUAUUUCAAACCAAGAAAAAUCUCAUACAGUCCUAUCCUCGUUUGCUUUCUGUUGCUGUAACCAAACUGACUAAAACAAAACCAACAAAAACCCAACUGGGAAGGAAAGGAUUGAUGUGGCUCACAGGUUAUAACCCGUCAUCGUCACUGGAAGAAGUCAAGGAAGGCUUGACUUGGAAACCACCCAGCAACUUGCUUAUUCAGCGACCUUGCUCACCCAGCCAAGGCCCGCAUGCCUAGGGAUGGCGUGGACCACAGUGAGACAGCCCUCCUGUAGCAAUUAACUAAGAAAAUGCCUCCCGGGCAGGCCACUGACCAGCCGGAUGGAGACAGCUCCUCAGCUGUAAGUCCUUCCUCCCAUGUGUAAUCUGGCUUUGGAUCAAGCUCACCAAAACCAGAAUAAAUUAGUAGCACAAGGCUCCUCAUUCUAAAUGCUAACAUGAUUAGUUUGAAAAAGCUAUCAAGAAAAUCGUCAACAAAAAGUUUUAUGUGAACAGAGGUUUAAUGGUCUCUGUGUAUUCUGGGGUCUAAAGAGACUACAAGUUAUAAAGGUCGAUCCUAGGACAAACUCUAUGACCUCUUAUCUCUAUGAGAAUCAGUGAAAUACUUGAGCAAACUGAACUAAAUGAGGUUCAGGUCAGCCCAAACCAUUCCAUCACACUGAGAAGCCAGCCAGAACCUGGAUUACAGCCCUAAUCCUCCAUAACUGAUUUGGUGGAGAGGCGUUAUACGUGUUUUUGCAUUAAUGUGAAAGUAAAAAUCCCAAGAAAGACGGCCU